GAUGAACGCUGGCGGUCUGCUUAACACAUGCAAGUCGAACGGAAUCCUUCGGGAUUUAGUGCCGGACGGGUGAGUAACGCGUGAGAAUCUGCCUUCAGGUUCGGGACAACAGCUGGAAACGGCUGCUAAUACCGGAUGUGCCGAGAGGUGAAAGCUUUAGUGCCUGAAGAUGAGCUCGCGUCUGAUUAGCUAGUAGGAGUGGUAAUGGCACCCCUAGGCGACGAUCAGUAGCUGGUCUGAGAGGAUGAUCAGCCACACUGGGACUGAGACACGGCCCAGACUCCUACGGGAGGCAGCAGUGGGGAAUUUUCCGCAAUGGGCGCAAGCCUGGCGGAGCAAAACCGCGUGAGGGAAGAAGGUCUGUGGAUUGUAAACCUCUUUUGAUGGGGAAGAAGACAGUGACGGUACCCAUCGAAUCAGCCUCGGCUAACUCCGUGCCAGCCGCCGCAGUAA
rnacentral:rRNA from 1 species